UCCUACCUUUGUAUUAUGGCAGUUCAACUUGAAUAUGGGAACCAUUGCACCUGAUUUUGAUGCUAGACACUCAGAAGUUUAUUAUUCUUUCAGUCUUAUCGAGUCAGUUAAAGUUCCCAAAAACCACCUCGUGUGUUGUCAAUCCUAUAUUUGCUUCUGGAGAGAUCUGUUUGGAAGAAUGAAAAGUUACUGGAGACUACGCAAAAGAAAGAUUCAGUUACAAUAUUUCAUGGUUUAAGGAUACCCAGCCUGAGCAUUCAGCGGUAUGUUGAUCACAUCUUCAAGUGGUCUUGGAUCAGAAGUCGCUCAAGAAGUAUGAUAAUGCACCAGAGUAAUAAACUGCCUAUAUAUAUAGCUAAAAGUUGGACAGUCCAAAGGAUAAGGCAGCAUCUGACAGACCAAAAUCCAGCUCUCCGCCAUUAAGCUCUCCAAGUUUGCACAAAUAUUUGUUAGUGGUUUUAUCCUAAUAUUACGGAGGAGGAGAUCGAGGAAAAUAUUUUCUUAGUUUGGGGAACUUGUCUAUGUUAAGAUUCCUUUGGCCCAUGCUGUGCUUCUGCAGAAGAAAUAAUUCAAAGGUUGCAUGGAACUAUUAUUGGUCAACAAAUAGUUCGUCCUUCAUGGAGUAGAAACUCAACAACUGAUUAGUUCAAGAUUUACACAUCUAUGGUUUUGCAGAGAUAGAGAAGCCAUUGAUGCCAAUCUCAUUCUAGAAUUGGGAGACUGUGAUCGAUGAUUUCGAAUUCCAAUCUGAAGCUUCUGACCACAGCCAAUGUCAGUGCUUCAGCAGGAUUUACCUCCACCUCUGUUACUGGUUUUUGACCUGUAUUGAUGUUGAAAAGCAAGGCAGAACAUCUUCUUCUUAGCUGCUGAGACAUGUAAACACCAAGACCUCUUCUUAGAAACUUCUAGGCCUCAGACUGAUGAACGCCGACAACAUUUAUGGGAUGUGCUUUUUUUUCAUCUUUUGAAGAAACUCUGUUUUUUGUUGUAUCUUUUUGCAAGCAAAUAUUGUCAAUGCAUACAGUUGUGGCAUCCU